UACGUAGGGUGCAAGCGUUAAUCGGAAUUACUGGGCGUAAAGCGUGCGCAGGCGGUUUUGUAAGUCUGUCGUGAAAUCCCCGGGCUCCAACCUGGGAACUGCAUUGGUGACUGGCAGGCUAGAGUAUGGCAGAGGGGGGUAGAAGUUCCACGUGUAGCAGUGAAAUGCGUAGAGAUGUGGAGGAAUACCGAUGGCGAAGGCAGCCCCCUGGGCCAAUACUGACGCUCAUGCAC
rnacentral:rRNA from 1 species